CAGUUCUCUGAACUACUCAAAAUUUCCACUACCGGUUCUCCAGAACUGGUCAGAACCUGCUGAACACCAUCUCUGGAUCACAGACAACAGUGGGAGAAGUAAUCGUCAUGUUUCUCAUGCAUAUGUACAUCAGCCUUCCACAAAUAGUCUGAGGGGUUAAGCUGUAACUCCUAAAUUCCCAGGAUGGUGGGCACAUUGGAAGACCCCAGGCUGAGAAAGGCCGGCAUUUACCACAGAUAUCACCACCUUUGGAUUUCCAUUUUAAUCUUUCCUUAGAAAUUGUGUCUACCAACUGCUUCAAUUUACAGGUCUGUGUAAGGAAAUGUCAUUUAGACUCUUUCUUUAUCUCAUUUUUAUUCCACAAUAGGACACAAUUUCUUGAUUUCUAUGAUUUUACAGUCUGGCAGUAAAUGUGAUCUUUCCCCAUCUAUAAGGACAUCGCUGGAUCUAUUCUAGAAGGGGCACGAUGCUUAAGACGUUGGGCUGUCGAUCAAAAUGUUGUCAGUUUGAGAUUCAAGUACCACAUGAUAGGGUAAGCUCCAGUUACUUGCACCAGCUUCUGCAAACCUAGCAGUUCGAAAACAUGCAAAUGUGAGGAGAUAAAUAGGUACCACUUCAAUGGGAAAAUAGCAGUGUUCUUUGUGCCUCGGUGGAUAGUCAACCACACAUGACCACAGAACUGUCAUCAGACAAUGCUUGCUAAGAAACAGAGAUGAGCUCUGUCCCCUAGAUUUGGAAAUGCUGGACAGGGGAAACCUUUACCUUUAGAUCUAAUCUGAGUCAAUUGCAACAUUUAUUAAAAACUCAGUAGAACUAUCCGUGGUAUCUUCCUGGCUAUUGGUAGAAGCUUGUUGAUGUUCUUUAUCUAUUGGUAGUCUCAUAGACUUCAUCUCAAAGCAAGGCUGGGCAACCUUUUCAGAGCAGGGGGCUUUGUGAAAACAAAGAUUGGGCCCUCUCGUAAACUUACUUCUAUCCCCUCCCAGCAUCUUCCCUAGAUCAUAUAUCCUCAAAAUGGCAUGUGUCCAUAAGUCUGGCUAUUAAUGAUGAGAAUCUGUAGCCUUUAAUAUCUCCAUGGAUUUUAAAUGGCAACUCAUUCAUAGUAUAUACCCACACUAAUCAUGUGCCGGUUAGUUGCAGAGGUACGUAUAUGAAUAUGUGGCUCCUAAUCUUACAGCACUAUUACAUCUUGAAUUACUUGGUCACUUGGUAGAAGAUCUAACUGGAUCUUGUGACUGUAAUAGAGAUUUGAUGUCCAGCAUUUAGUGCAGGCGGUCUUGUCACUAUCAAUUUAUUGGGAAAGGACAGCUACAGGAAAUGGCUUCAAAGCUGGCAACGCUAUAUUGAGUUGACCUAGUUCUGCCCCUGAAUGACUAGGGAGGAAAAAAAGGUGGAAGAAUUCUUUGGUUCAGAAAAACUCUGGAGGUUUAUUCGGAGUGUUUAUUCAGCUCCCUAAAGCAAUUCCUUCUUGGAAUGUGGGAUUCUGCAUUUACUGUGUUCUCCUCCUCCCCCCUUCUCUCUCAAUUUUCCUGCAGUUGUGUAGCAGAUGGUGAUUAUUCCCAUUGUGAGAUGGGGAUGCAUUUGAGGCCACUUUACCUGGGCCAUUCCUAUACUAUAGGAACUCCCUCUUGCCUUUUGUGAAGAUAAUGCUUAGCAUUAUUAUCUUCUAUUUAGGGAAGUAGAGAUCCUACUAGGAUGAUCUUUCUUAUAAAAGGAAUGUAACCUUUCACUUGCAUUUGUUCAUUGAUGUUCUUUUAUAGUAUUUUUUCCACUGCAGGCUACUUAGGACAGUUUUUUUAUACAUGCCUUCCACUAUUCAAUUUAUAUUUGAUUUUUAAAAAUGGCAAUAUGGCAGUCAAAAUAAUUUAAAAAUAUUUUUAUUCUGAAAUUGGAAUGAAAGUACUUUCAUUUCUGUCUUUGGCUUUUGAUAUUGUAGUUCAUUCUGUAGGGUCACCUUUUAUCCUGUGCGAUAUAUCUUAAACUAUGUUUACCUGGAGGUAGGUCCCUCAAUUAUUGUAUUAGUCCUUACUUUUCAGUACAUGUGAUUUAGCACUAAAUAUUACCUGCAGAAGAGAAGCACCUUUGCAACUUGAUUGCCAAGCUUUUAUUAGGAUUUGUUUUAAUGCUUGGUUGCCAUAAUUGAAUCUUGGGUUGAUCCAUUUACAAAGUUGUGGUAGUGUGUGGUACGUUUAAAAUAGGUGAGUAUAACUCCUAAAUUGGGACACUGUCAUCUUUUCAUGGUUCCUUACCCUUCUCCCUUUAAUCUCAGAGUCAUAAAAUAUAUAUUAAGCUUUACUGGGAAUAAAGACAAAACAUUAGGGUUAUACAAGCAGUUUUUGCCUGUCAAAAAUAAAAUGGCAAAUGUGGAAAAACAUGGAUUUCAUAAUUUUAGUACAAAACAUUUUUUUUCUAUGCCCAGUAAAUAGAUUUUGAUGGGAUUAAUUCAGAUAAAGGAUUUAUCUGGCCCACAUGAUAGAACUGCCUAAAGAAUUUAGUCUUGAUCUGGUAAGAACCAUCCUGAUUUGAAAAGAAAUUUUUGCUGGAUUUUGUACUUUGUGGUAAAAUCAGAAGAGGGAUUGGUAAAUAUGUUGUCAUUUGUUUCUGGAUAAAGGAUAUAAAUCUAACUAAUAUGGCCAACCAUUUAAAUUAUUGCAAUGCAUACACUUAAUGAAUAUGCAUCUUUCUAAAAAAAUGGCUAGAUUUAAAUAUCCAAAUAAAUUAUUUGUAUUUAUUUCAUCUGCAGAAAGUUGCCCUGCAGUCUUCUUUGGGUGACAGAGAUCCUUCUUGGGUAAGGAGGAUUCUGAGAAAUGCUUAUAAAGGCAUGCAAAGAAAUUUGUGCAGCCUCAAUUGCUUACAUUCAUUCUCAGUUGAUUGUUGGCCUCGCAGAAUUUGAUUUAAUU